CCCGGCUAACAUCAGGGGUAACAUCAGGUAACAUCAGGGUAACAUCAGGGUAAUAUCAGGGUAACAUCAGCGUAACAUCAGGGUAACAUCAGGGUAACAUCAGAGUAACAUCAGGGUAACAUCAGGGUAACAUCAGCGUAACAUCAGGGUAACAUCAGGGUAAUAUCA